CCUACGGGGGGCUGCAGUGAGGAAUAUUGGUCAAUGGGCGCGAGCCUGAACCAGCCAAGUAGCGUGAAGGAUGACUGCCCUACGGGUUGUAAACUUCUUUUAUAAAGGAAUAAAGUGAGGCACGUGUGCCUUUUUGUAUGAACUUUAUGAAUAAGGAUCGGCUAACUCCGUGCCAGCAGCCGCUGUAAUACGGAGUCUCCGAGCGGUAUCCGGAUUUAUUGGGUUUAAAGGGAGCGUAGAUGGGUUGUUAAGUCAGCUGUGAAAGUUUGCGGCUCAACCGUAAAAUUGCAAUUGAUACUGGCAGUCUUGAGUACAGUUGCGGUAGGCGGAAUUCGUGUUGUAGCGG
rnacentral:rRNA from 1 species